rnacentral:rRNA from 1 species
UACGAGAGGCCCAAACGUUAUUCGGAAUUACUGGGCUUAAAGAGUUCGUAGGCGGCGCAACAAGUGGGGUGUGAAAGUCCUCGGCUCAACCGAGGAAUUGCGCUCCAAACUGUUGUGCUUGAGGGACCUAGAGGUGAGCGGAACUGAUGGUGGAGCGGUGAAAUGCGCAGAUAUCAGGAGGAACACCGAUGGCGAAGGCAGGUCUGCUGGCACUACU